rnacentral:rRNA from 1 species
ACUUGAAAUACUGAAAGCGGCGGACGAGCGAGUAACACGUAAGAACCUGCCCCGUACUCAGGGAUAACUCAGUGAAAGCUGAGCUAAUACCGGAUGGUCUCGAAAGAGUAAAGAUUUAUCGGUACGGGAGGGGCUUGCGGCUUAUCAGUUUGUUGGUGGGGUAAAGGCCUACCAAGACUAUGACGAGUAGCUGGUGUGAGAGCAUGACCAGCCGCGAUGGGACUGAGACACGGCCCAUACUCC